rnacentral:rRNA from 1 species
AGCGAACGCUGGCGGCAGGCUUAACACAUGCAAGUCGAGCGGGCAUCCUUGUGGUGUCAGCGGCAGACGGGUGAGUAACGCGUGGGAACGUGCCCUUCGGUUCGGAAUAACUCAGGGAAACUUGAGCUAAUACCGGAUACGUGCGAGAGCAGAAAGGUUUAUCUGCCGAAGGAUCGGCCCGCGUCUGAUUAGCUAGUUGGUGAGGUUACGGCUCACCAAGGCGACGAUCAGUAGCUGGUCUGAGAGGAUGAUCAGCCACACUGGGACUGAGACACGGCCCAGACUCCUACGGGAGGCAGCAGUGGGGAAUAUUGGACAAUGGGGGCAACCCUGAUCCCGCCAUGCCGCGUGAGUGAUGACGGCCUUAGGGUUGUAAAGCUCUUUUCUCCGGGACGAUAAUGACGGUACCGGAGGAAUAAGCCCCGGCUAACUUCGUG